rnacentral:rRNA from 1 species
CUGCGCGGGAGUACAAACUCUGAUUUACGACGUUUCUUCUGAGUGGUACAAGCAAAUAAUCAAAACUUUUAACAACGGAUCUCUUGGUUCUGGCAUCGAUGAAGAACGCAGCGAAAUGCGAUAAGUAAUGUGAAUUGCAGAAUUCAGUGAAUCAUCGAAUCUUUGAACGCCACAUUGCGCCCGCCAGCAUUCUGGCGGGCAUGCCUGUUCGAGCGUCAUUUCAACCCUCAAGCUCUGCUUGGUGUUGGGGCCCUACAGCUGAUGUAGGCCCUCAAAGGUAGUGGCGGACCCUCCCGGAGCCUCCUUUGCGUAGUAACCUUACGUCUCGCACUGGGAUCCGGAGGGACUCUUGCCGUAAAACCCCCAAUUUUCCAAAGGUUGACCUCGGAUCAGGUAGGAAUACCCGCUGAACUUAAGCAUAUCUAAGGAGGGGGGAGAAAAA